rfam:Hordeum vulgare subsp. vulgare, WGS project CAJW01000000 data, contig: morex_contig_249878
AUAGCACUCCCUCCGUCCCAAAUUUUUUGUCUUAGCUUUGUCAAGGAAUGAAUGUAUCUAAAUACUAAAACUUAACUAGAUACAUUCGUAUCUAAAUAAAUCUAUGACAAAAAUUUUAGGACGAAGGAAGUACUUA